CGGCAGACACCCAACCGACGGAGCCACCCAGGCGCCCCAGAGCCCAUUCUGAGAGCCUGCUGCCAUGCUGUCCUUGGGGGAGCUCCAUCUUCCAGUUUCCCAGGCGUGUCUGGGACACACUUGGCUUCUCCUUCCUCACUCCGGACACCGGCCUCUCCAGACCUCCUCCUCCAGGCUCCUCGCUGGGUCCUGGGCCCCCGCUCUGGCCUUCAACACUGGCCCCUGUUGCUCCAGCUGAAUUUGGUCAUCUUCUCCAUCUUGGAGGAGAUCCAGCCUCCCCAGGUGCCAGGACCCCACCGGCUGCGGUCAGAGAGACGGCUACUGCUCACAGCUCCAGCCAGCGCAGACCAGGCCCAUGGAGAAAGUCAACUACAAGAUGAAAU